UCGGUUUCGGACCUUCGCAAGGUAUGGAUGUAUUUUUGAUUUUGUAUUAAAAAAUAAAUCAAACUUGUUAAGAAUUAUAGAUGAUGCACAUCGAUUAAUACCAUACGAAAUUAUAGAUGAUACUAAUAAUAAAUACACGGUGCUUCUAUCUUCAGAAGAAUUUCUAAAGGCCAGAAAUGAACCAGAAGUCGCACGUAGAAUUUUGGAAAAUGCAAAAAUUGCCGGCAUACAUCAAAAGAAAACAAAAGUUUCGAAAUGAUUUUGGAAGAAUGCGAGAGUCUUGAUGGCGGUUCAUGGGCUAAGAACAGUACUCAAAUGUUUAUACAAUAUGGAUUAUGAACCAGCAAUUGUAAGUGGCAAACUGAAGCAAAAGAAUAUUUUUGAAAAAAUAUCUCAAUGACUUGCUGAAAAUAGCU